AACAAAAACAUGGUUUUUUGAAUAUAAUUUAAGAUCUAAUCUGCCCACUGAUUUAAUUAUUAAAGGGCCGCAGUAUAUUGACUGUGCGAAGGUAGCAUAAUCAAUAGUUUUUUAAUUGAAAGCUUGUAUGAAUGAUUGGACGAGAUAAAUUCUGUCUUUAUUUAAUUUAUUUUAGAAUUUAAUUUUUAAGUUAAAAAGCUUAAAUUUGUAUAAAAGACGAGAAGACCCUAUAGAUCUUUAUAAUUAAUUAUUAAAUUUAUUUUAUUGAAAUAUUUUAUAUGUUAUUAAUUAAUUAUUUUAUUGGGGUAAUAGAAAGAUUUAAUUAAUUCUUUUAUUUAUUUACAUUAAUUUAUGAUUAUUAUUGAUCCUUUAUUAAAGAUUAAAAGAUUAAGUUACCUUAGGGAUAACAGCGUAAUUUUUUUUUAGAGUUCAUAUCGAUAAAAAAGUUUGCGACCUCGAUGUUG
rnacentral:rRNA from 1 species